GUAGGUAUGGCCUUUGCCAUCAGUACUGCAAUGAAGAGCUGGGAAGAUGAACAUGAUCUUUCUGAUAUCAAAGAAGACAAACUAAAAGGAAAGAGGACGAAUCUCCAACACAGCAGAUUUUUUUUUUUUUUUUUUUUUUGCCUAGACACUAAAAAGUGUCUUUGCCAAAUACUAUAAUGUAACUACAAAUCCCAAGCUCUUUACUACCACAGCUGGGGCUCAUCAGCAAGAGGGAGAAACUGUUUUAAAUUUGGACCAGUGUGAUGUGAACAUCUUUAAAUCCUUCGUAAUUAGUGUUGCAAUGAUCAUCCAAAGUCAAUUGCUUGCUGUUUCUAAUCCAGGGUACAUUGUGAACUAUAUACUUUGAAAGGUAUAUUCGGCUUCCACAAAAUCUGUUCUACUGGAAGUCACUUCCUCUAGAUUUCUCUCAGUUCCAAUGAAUGAUGGAGAAAUUGCUGUAUUACAUUCAAUAACCUGUCACUGGAUAGUGUGUAGGUUGUUUGGGUUAUAAGAUGAGUCUAGUAUGCCUGGAUGGAGUGGGAUGAUCAUUGCUGACAGCUCUUUCAUGUAUGUUCAUGAGCAUAGGUACUCAAUCAAAUAAGAAGUGACAAAAAGUGAUUCAGAAGCCAGUGCUUGGCAAGUGCUUCUGAGGUCAUGACUCCUGGGCAUUAGAUAACCUGGGGCAGAUUUGGCAAAAAUGUAAUGAAGACCCGUAGAUGGUUUUAUCCAAUUUCUAAAGCAUGGUUACGAUUCUCUUCAGAAUAAAAAAUAAUGGCUCUCUCAGUGAGCUUUGCAUUUUGGGACAAAUAUGCAGUCUCAAAUACUGACUUCUCAAAUAUGACUCUUAUUCCUGAAAAAGGAAGGUUUCUA
rnacentral:lncRNA from 1 species